CAAUGAAGAGUCCCUGUCCGGGCUAAGAUAGAAGAAACCUCCCUCCAGUUCUCCCACCUGAGUACAGGUUGGCUUCCUGUCGUUUUGACUAAACACUAGGCAAAAACAAGUUGGGGAGGAACGGCUUGAUUUCAUCAGUGAUGUCCUCCACCAUUGAGGGGAUCCAAGGUGGGCACUUGAAACAGAAACCACGGAGGGACCGCUUCCUUCCCGGAUUGCUUCCCCAGGAGUGAAAGGUGACCGCAAAACCU